UACGGAGGAUGCAAGCGUUAUCCGGAUUUAUUGGGUUUAAAGGGUGCGCAGGUUGUUUGAUAAGUCAGUGGUGAAAGUCUGUCGCUUAACGGUAGGAUUGCCAUUGAUACUGUUGGACUUGAAUAUGGAUGAGGUAGGCGGAAUGUGUAGUGUAGCGGUGAAAUGCAUAGAUAUUACACAGAACACCGAUUGCGAAGGCAGCUUACUAAUCUAUCAUUGACGCUGAGGCACGAAAGCGUGGGGAGUCAAACA
rnacentral:rRNA from 1 species